GACGAACGCUGGCGGCGUGCCUAAUACAUGCAAGUAGAACGCAGUUGCGAACGUGUGAGUAACGCGUAGGUAACUGCCUCAUAGCGGGGGAUAACUAUUGGAAACGAUAGCUAAUACCGCAUACUGUGAGAUGUUUCUGCUUUGUAUUAGCUAGUUGGUGAGUUCAAGGCUCACCAAGGCGACGAUACAUCGCCGACCUGAGAGGGUGGACGGCCAAAAUGGGACUGAGACAAGGCCCAGACUCCUACGGGAGGCAGCAGUAGGGAAUGUGCGGCAAAGGACGGAAGUCUGAACGAGCAACGCCGCGUGAGUGAAGCAGGUUUUCGGAGCGUAAAGCUCUGUUGUGAGAGAAGCGGGAACUAAAGAGAAAGGGACGGCUAACUACGUGCCAGCAGCCGCGGUAAUUC
rnacentral:rRNA from 1 species